AUUGAACGCUGGCGGCAUGCCUUACACAUGCAAGUCGAACGGUAACAGGUCUUCGGAUGCUGACGAGUGGCGAACGGGUGAGUAAUACAUCGGAACGUGCCUAGUAGUGGGGGAUAACUACUCGAAAGAGUGGCUAAUACCGCAGGAGAGCUACGGAUGAAAGCAGGGGAUCGCAAGACCUUGUGCUACUAGAGCGGCCGAUGGCGGAUUAGGCAGUUGGUGGGAUAAAAGCUUACCAAGCCGACGAACUGUAGCUGGUCUGAGAGGACGAUCAGCAACACUGGGAUUGAGACACGGCCCAGACUCCUACGGGAGGCAGCAGUGGGGAAUUUUGGACAAUGGGCGAAAGCCUGAUCCAGCAAUGCCGCGUGCAGGAUGUAGGCCUUCGGGUUGUAAACUGCUUUUGUACGGAACGAAAAGCCCCGGGUUAAUACCCUGGGGUCAUGACGGUACCGUAAGAAUAAGCACCGGCUAACUACGUGCCAGCAGCCGCCGUAA
rnacentral:rRNA from 1 species